UACGUAGGGACCAAGCGUUGUUCGGAUUUACUGGGCGUAAAGGGCGCGUAGGCGGCUUGACAAGUCACUUGUGAAAUCUCCGGGCUUAACUCGGAACGGCCAAGUGAAACUGUCAUGCUAGAGUGCAGAAGGGGCAAUCGGAAUUCUUGGUGUAGCGGUGAAAUGCGUAGAUAUCGGGAGGAACACCAGUAGCGAAGGCGGCACUCUGGGCCGGUACUGACGCUGAGGUGCGAAAGCGUGGGGAGCAAACAGG
rnacentral:rRNA from 1 species